UACGUAGGGUGCAAGCGUUUGUCCGGAAUCACUGGGCGUAAAGGGCGCGUAGGUGGCGGCAUAAGGCCGCGGUGAAAGUUCGGGGCUCAACCCUGAAUCGGCCGCGGCGGACUGUGUUGCUAGGGCACCGUAGAGGCAGAUGGAAUUCCGGGUGUAGCGGUGGAAUGCGUAGAGAUCCGGAAGAACACCAGUGGCGAAGGCGGUCUGCUGGGCGGUGGGUCCGCGAGGAUCCAAGUACCGGACACU
rnacentral:rRNA from 1 species